UCCGAGUUGACCCCGGCAGUCUGCAAUGAGUCCCCGACAUUACUCGCUGGCAACAUUGCACGAGGGUUGCGCUCGUUGCGGGACUUAACCCAACAUCUCACGACACGAGCUGACGACAACCAUGCACCACCUGUGCAGGACCCUUGCGGACCUCACAUCUCUGUGAGAUUUCCCUGCAUGUCAAGCCUUGGUAAGGUUCUUCGCGUUGCGUCGAAUUAAGCCGCAUGCUCCGCCGCUUGUGCGGGCCCCCGUCAAUUCCUUUGAGUUUUAGCCUUGCGGCCGUACUCCCCAGGCGGGGCGCUUAAUGCGUUAGCUGCGGCACGGAGAACGUGGAAGGUUCCCCACACCUAGCGCCCAACGUUUACGGCGUGGACUAC
rnacentral:misc_RNA from 1 species